CAUACACGCAACACUGUUCCAGCAAAAUCCCCAAAUUGCUAUGAUGAAUAUAAGUUUGUGGUACUGGUCAGAUGCCUAGUCCUAUGCUAUGGGAAUAGUGGCCGAAGACAUAAUGAAAGACCUGCAGGAUUGACUAGCAAUCCUGAAUAUACCAUGGCAGAUGGCUGGUUGUCUGACCAAGACUCCUUAAAUGGGGUAUGAGCAAGGUCUUGCUCAAAGAGGGGAAUGAAGGGAAGGGGUUAAUGAUUCUCAUCUAUAAUUUCUGAUAUUAUAUUCUCUUUCUUAAGAUUUACACAAGAGCUAAAAAACUAGACAAACCACAGGUUAUUUUUGAUUUAUCACUUCUGCUUUUGAAUCAACAGACGCAUCCGCAAAGUAACGUUGACCUGAUGCUUCCGAGAAAAGUAUCAUGGAAA